UCCCUGGUGGUCCAGUAUUUAAGCCUCUACACUCUCAAUGCAGAGGAGCCAGGUUCAAACCCUGGUCAGGGAA
rnacentral:tRNA from 1 species